rnacentral:rRNA from 1 species
AGACUUUGAUCCUGGCUCAGGACGAACGCUGGCGGCGUGCUUAACACAUGCAAGUCGAGCGGACUUGAGAUUGACGCGAUUUCGGUCAAGUCAUUCUCAAGUUAGCGGCGAACGGGUGAGUAACACGUGGGUAACCUGCCCUUAAGACCGGGAUAACAACCCGAAAGAGUUGCUAAUACCGGAUAUGCUCUUAGACCCGCCUGGGUUAGAGAGGAAGGAUUUAUUGCUUAAGGAUGGGCCCGCGUCCCAUUAGCUAGUUGGUGAGGUAACGGCUCACCAAGGCUGCGAUGGGUAGCUGGUCUGAGAGGACGAUCAGCCACACUGGAACUGAGACACGGUCCAGACUCCUACGGGGGGCAGCAGUGGGGAAUCUUGCACAAUGGGCGCAAGCCUGAUGCAGCAACGCCGCGUGAGCGAUGACGGCCUUCGGGUUGUAAAGCUCUGUCAGGGGGGACGAAGAUCUGACGGUACCCCCAGAGGAAGCCCCGGCGUAAA